CUCUCCAAAGUGUCCUGAAUUGGCGGGAGGGGAGGGGAGGUACAAUAAGAUAUUUUGGAAAUUCUAAAUUUUGUUGGGGUUUAUUCUAGUAAUUCUGGGACAAAUAUUUGACGUUAUUCUUAUUAAAAACAAGCCGAAGCGAGGGCCGAAGGCCCGAGGAAAUUUUUAAAUUUAGAGUCCCUGAAAUGCCAUUUCCUGGACUUUGGGGGAAGAUUUGACAGAAUUCUGAUGGUCAGAAAACAGCGUUUUAGUAUGUCGAAAUUUACAAUUUAGUGGUACUAAAUGAUAUAAAGAUUACAAAAAUGGCGAUAUAAAGAUUACAAAAAUCAUUAUUGUGUUUUAAAAAUGAUGAGUGAAAACGAGAUGCAAUUCUAAAGAACAUUCUUGUUUACUGAUAUUUUUUGUGUGUGUUUUUGACGUUGUUAUUAAAGAUUAUGCAACAUGCCAAAAUAAAGGAGGGCUCAGCAAGCUGGUCAUAUUCAGCAAAUUUUCUCCCAGGACCGCACGCUCAUAUUGUCAGUGAACUUGCGGUGUAAAAUUGAAACUUUUGCAUUUUUCAGAGAACUGGCCACUUUCUGUAAGAUGUCCGCUGUCAAUACGAACCCGCACGAGUGGGAGAAAUUUUGCUAAAUUUGACCAACGUGCAGCCCCCAAGUCAACAUGAAAUUUCAACAAGGGGGCUCAGCCCCCCUGAGCCCUCCCUCCAGUACACCACUUGGCCUAUCUUCUAAGCAAGGAAUAUUUUUUUUGCACUAUGCCUGGAAAGAUUUUUUUUUUCUUAAUUUUUUUCUGUGAAUAAUUUUUUUUUUUGGUUUUGCCCCCCCCC